ensembl:misc_RNA Y_RNA Y RNA
GGUUGGUCUGAAGUAGUGAUUCAUCUCAACUGAUUCAUAGUCAGUUGCAGAUCAAAGUCAUCGUUCUAUUCUUUCUCCCCUUCUCACUACUGCACUUGACUAGUCUAAA